rnacentral:rRNA from 1 species
UGGGGAAUAUUGGACAAUGGGGGCAACCCUGAUCCAGCCAUGCCGCGUGAGUGAUGAAGGCCUUCGGGUUGUAAAGCUCUUUUGGCGGGGAAGAUAAUGACGGAACCCGUAGAAUAAGCCCCGGCUAACUUCGUGCCAGCAGCCGCGGUAAUACGAAGGGGGCUAGCGUUGCUCGGAAUUACUGGGCGUAAAGCGCCCGUAGGCGGACCGAUAAGUCGGGGGUGAAAUCCUGGAGCUCAACUCCAGAACUGCCUUCGAAACUGCCGGUCUUGAGUUCGGGAGAGGUGAGUGGAACUGCGAGUGUAGAGGUGAAAUUCGUAGAUAUUCGCAAGAACACCAGUGGCGAAGGCGGCUCACUGGCCCGAUACUGACGCUGAGGUGCGAAAGCGUGGGGAGCAAACA